UUCUGUGACUGCGUACCUUUUGUAUAAUGGGUCAGCGACUUAUAUUCAGUGGCGAGCUUAACUGAAUAGGGGAGGCGUAGCGAAAGCGAGUCUUAAUAGGGCGUCUAGUCGCUGGGAAUAGACCCGAAACCGGGCGAUCUAUCCAUGGGCAGGUUGAAGGUUGGGUAACACUAACUGGAGGACCGAACCGACUACCGUUGAAAAGUUAGCGGAUGACCUGUGGAUCGGAGUGAAAGGCUAAUCAAGCUCGGAGAUAGCUGGUUCUCCUCGAAAGCUAUUUAGGUAGCGCCUCAUGUAUCACUGUAGGGGGUAGAGCACUGUUUCGGCUAGGGGGUCAUCCCGACUUACCAAACCGAUGCAAACUCCGAAUACCAAUGAGUACUAUCCGGGAGACAGACUGCGGGUGCUAACGUCCGUAGUCAAGAGGAAAACAAUCCAGACCGCCAGCUAAGGCCCCAAAAUCAUAGUUAAGUGGGAAACGAUGUGGGAAGGCAUAGACAGCUAGGAGGUUGGCUUA
rnacentral:rRNA from 1 species